GACGAACGCUGGCGGCAUGCCUAAUACAUGCAAGUCGAGCGGAGUUGAUGGAAAGCUUGCUUUCCUGAUACUUAGCGGCGGACGGGUGAGUAACACGUAGGCAACCUGCCCUCAAGCUUGGGACAACUACCGGAAACGGUAGCUAAUACCGAAUACUUGUUUUCUUCGCCUGAAGGAAACUGGAAAGACGGAGCAAUCUGUCACUUGGGGAUGGGCCUGCGGAGCAUUAGCUAGUUGGUGAGGCAACGGCUCACCAAGGCGACGAUGCGUAGCCGACCUGAGAGGGUGAUCGGCCACACUGGGACUGAGACACGGCCCAGACUCCUACGGGAGGCAGCAGUAGGGAAUCUUCCGCAAUGGGCGAAAGCCUGACGGAGCAAUGCCGCGUGAGUGAUGAAGGUUUUCGGAUCGUAAAGCUCUGUUGCCAGGGAAGAACGCUUGGGAGAGUAACUGCUCCCAAGGUGACGGUACCUGAGAAGAAAGCCCCGGCUAACUACGUGCCAGCCGCCGCAGUAA
rnacentral:rRNA from 1 species